GCGAGGCGGCGUGGCCUCAGACGGUGGGGUGGUCGCUGGGCGAUUGGGGCGGCGCUGUGCACGGAGCUGUAGCCGGUGAUCGCGGCGGCGGCGCUGCAGCGGUGCAUGGGCUGCUACGUGACGGAGUUGCUGCUGUUCGGAUUGGAGUUUGGUGACAGGUGAGGGUGAGCAACCCCAGUUCCAGUGAUUUCCAUUCCAAAAUUCCAAUUAGCUUCCACUUAUGGUUCCCUUUGUCACGCUCUUCCCAAGUAGGAGUACGUAGCUAGUUUGAUGUUCUUGUAAGAGCUAUCGCUUUUGUUAAAGCAGGGAUCGAGCCUUUUGUCAAAAAAGGUUAUCUACAUUUUACAUUGAAGAUUAUGGUUGCUUAA